rnacentral:rRNA from 1 species
AUUGAACGCUGGCGGCAGGCCUAACACAUGCAAGUCGAACGAGUGGCGGAGGGUUGAGGCAUGUCUGGGAAAAUGCCUGAUGGAGGGGGAUAACUACUGGAAACGGUAGCUAAUACAGCAUACCAUCGGAUGUGCCCAGAUGGGAUUAGCUAGUAUGUGGGGUAAAGGCUCACCUAGGCGACGAUCCCUAGCUGGUCUGAGAGGAUGACCAGCCACACUGGAACUGAGGCACGGUCCAGACUCCUACGGGAGGCAGCAGUGGGGAAUAUGGGACAAUGUGCGCAAGCCUGAUGCAGCCAUGCCGCGUGUAUGAAGAAGGCCUUCGGGUUGUAAAGUACUUUCCGCGGGGAGGCGUUACCCGCAGAAGAAGCACCGGCUAACUCCGUGCCAGCCGCCGCGGUAAUAC